GUGGGGCUUGUGGAUAUGGGAAUCUGUACAGCCAAGGUUAUGGAACAAACACUGCAGCUUUGAGUACUGCUCUGUUCAACAAUGGGUUAAGCUGUGGGUCUUGCUAUGAGAUUAAGUGUGUUAAUGACAAUCAAUGGUGUCUGCCUGGCUCCAUCAUGGUCACUGCAACUAACUUCUGUCCACCCAACAGUGAUGGAGGCUGGUGUAAUCCUCCCAACCAGCACUUUGACCUCUCCCAGCCUAUUUUCCAACACAUUGCUCAAUACAAAGCUGGCAUAGUCCCUGUUUCCUACAGGAGGUGAACCCUCUAAUCCUUGCUACAGGCUCGGUCGAAAUAAGUCACUUAUUUCCAGAAAAAAAUAUAUGAAUAUUUAUUUUUUAUGGAAAUAAGUGACUUAUUUAUGCAAAUAAGACAUAUAAAAUAUUUAUUAAAAAAUUUGACACUAACAAAUAUUUUGUAAAUGCGAAACCCAAAAUAAGUAUCUUUUUUAUAAAAUAAGGUCAGUCAAACAAGCUGAUACUAAUGAAAUCUUGGUUUUGGUUUGAACAGGGUACCAUGCCAGAGGAGGGGAGGCAUAAGGUUUCAAAUAAAUGGUCAUUCUUACUUCAACUUGGUUUUAGUCACAAAUGUUGGUGGUGCUGGAGAUGUUCAUGCUGUUUCAAUCAAAGGAUCAAGGACUGGUUGGCAACCAAUGUCAAGAAACUGGGGACAGAACUGGCAGAGCAACAACUAUCUCAAUGGUCAAUCUCUGUCUUUCAAGGUCACCACAAGUGAUGGAAGAACUGUUNACUGAUAUAUCAGAUGCGAUUUAUAUAUAAUUUUGAUGUCCAACUCGGUGUCUCCAUUAUUGUUUUCAUAUCAAUUAACUUUGUUUGAGAAAAUUCAACAUAUUAACAUGCAAAUAUAUAUAAUAAAAAGAACUAAAACAAAACCAAUCUUUCACACAUUUUAUUUCGCAUAAUCCUUGUAUAACUCACUUCUUAAAAUAAAAUAAUUAAUCAAGAAAAUUAUAUAAUAUAUUAUUUAAUAGGCUAUCUAUUACAUUAUUUAUCUUUAAUAAAUAUAUUAAUUAUUAUAAAUUAAAAUCAAACUUUUAAUUGAAAUAAAAAAACCGGAUCGGAUUGAUUUAGAUAUCCAGUAUUAAUGAGCGAAUCCAAAUUAAUAAAAAGUACUAUAAUUUAUAACCGCCCAAAUUCAACCAGCUGAUGUCCAACAUCAGUCAUAUACUAAAUUAAAACCCUGGAUAUGUCACACGGAUGAUUAUAAUACAUGCUCGUAGCGGUGGUUAACAAGUCGAAUCGUUAGAACAAAGUAGUGGACUACGCCCAUGAAAUACAAUCAUCACCCAUGUGCAGGUACUACUCUGUUUUUGUUUUCUACACUAUGCUCCAUUUAUUAAAUGAACGAGAGUCGUCUAUUUUGAACGCACCAAAAAUGUUUAUUUGUUUGAAUUAAUUGUGCAAGGCCACUAACACGUCUCUUGCCGUUGUGUUAUGCGAAUUAAAUACAACAACUUUUACCAAAUCAUAAUUAAUGCUUUAGAGAAAGCAUGCAAGGGCCAUUCGAAUAUACAGUAUGUCGUGGUGACCUGCUUGUUGCGACUAAGGGACAGUGCAAUGCAUCUUGUUAUUUGGGUUUUCUUAUGUCCUGAAUUAGAAUUUUUUAAGAAGUUAUAUAUAAUAUUUUAAUUUUAAUAAUAGUUCUAAAUUUAUUUUAUAAAUAAUUUUCUCAUCUAAUUUUUUAAAAAUAAUAUAGUAUACUUAAACUUUAAAUAAAAGUAAAAAUAUAAUCAUGAUACAUACAUAAUAUUUAAAAUUUGUACUUAAAUUUAACUUCAUAAAAAUUACAAAUAAAAGGAAAUAAAAAUAAGAAGCAGAGUUAAAAUCCAGUCAGCCCACAUUUUAUAUUUACAUGUAACAAAAUGAAAAAUCCAAUAAUACAGUAAUGUUACACAUGUUUGAAGAACGCAGUUGGAGAGAGAGAAAUGAUUGUCUAAACAAUUUUAUAUCAAAUUAUCUACAAAAUUCAGCAAAAUAUAUAAGUUGCUACCGAUAUUCGCAGCGACUCAUUUAAAUCAUUAAAAUAUUAUUACAUCAUUUCUUUAACUCGGUUUCCCAAACUCAAGGAUUAGUUGUUGUUAAUUUAUACGAUGUAUCAUAUCCCACACUUUCAAAAUAUAAUACAUAAACCGACUCGUUUCACUUGAGCAAAUAAUGAGCAAAUAACUUUAUCUUUUUAUUUUUUCUAUCCCAGUUGAAGUUACAUUUGAGAUAGUACGAAAAGUUUGAGUUGAAAUAUCAGUGUCUUCUUUAAUUUCAUUCGAGUUAGCGGAAUUUUGUUACCACAUUAACAAUUUCGUCACCACAUUAGCAUUGCGGUCAAAUUUUAUUGAAAAUCUUAACAGAAUGAUGUAUAAUACUGUAAUAUUUAGUGACUUAAAUGAGUCAUCGUGUAAAUCGGGUAGUUAUAUGAUAUAUUUUAUCGAGUUCGGUGAUAAACAUGAUAUAAAACUCUUGGCAAAAUAUUACAAUGUAAAUUUUCUUGGCGAGUGAUGUUUACUGAAACAGUGAUAUGUGUAAUUAUUAUAAAAUUAAAUUAUACUUAGAAUAAAUUUUCUGUUUCGGUAAUGCAGCUGGCCAACGUAAUUGUCCUAAGAAUUUUUUUUGUCUUUUUUACGUAUUUUACUGGCAAUUCAUAUUGUAAUCCGAUACAUAUUUGAUCCGUAAAAUAAAUAUUUAUAUUAAUUUUUUGAGGCUGAGGUUGAUUUUUGGGUUGAACCAAAAUCAAUUUGCGAAAGGAUUGUAGUGCAAAAUGUACUUCUAUGUAAUUGCGCGUCAUAAAUCCUAUAUCAUCUGUAUUAAGAAGAAAUCAUUUAGCGAAAGAGAAUCUUUGUGUACAAACGGUACUUCAAACUUGAACUAACAUGAAGAAAUUAAUGAAACUUUUUUAUCUUUUGAGUUGUUCUGCCGAUCAGUCGUUCAAGAUUUUUGGUCUCUACUUGGGAUUUUUGAUGUAUACAAAGAAGAUAAUGAAGUAAAAGUAGUGCGAAAAGUGAAAAAGUGACGAGAUUUAUUGAUUAUAUUGAGUAAAUUUUUAAAUGUAAAAAAUUGGAUAAGACAACUCAAAAAGAAGAAAAAGGUAAAAAAAUAACGGGAAAAGAUCAGUGUUAGUAAGCAAUUAGGCCAAGCAAGGGAUGAUUUUUUUCUGUGACAUCUAAGAAACGGAAGAGUUGGAAGCAAAGAAUUAAAACACAAAGAAAAAAGCGAGAGUUGCAGCAAAUGGUCGUUGCUUGCAUGUGCGCCUCGAUAUGUUUCUAACCAUCACCCAGAUAUCACAUGCCCCACUCCUAGAUUUACUACCCACACUUUUCAUUUCACACUCCAUACUCCUCUACCUCCAAUAAUUUCACAUUCCAUCUUUACCCUCACAUUGUUGCCUCCCUCACUUACAUUCCCAAGGGCAAUUUGGUCCAAAUAUUCUUCAACAUCCCAAAGAGAGUAUUUUGUUAUUUACAUUUUCUCCCUCCAAUUUCUCCUAUAAAUAAACCUUAGCAUUUGCAAUUUCUAAGCAUCUUCCUACACUCUCCACACUCACAUUACUCAUUCUCCUUUAAGCCACUUAUCUCCUCUCCUUUCCUCAGCUUCUAAUCAAAAUGUAAUCAUCUUGUCUCCUAAUAUAUUCUUACAUGCUACAUUUGUGUACUUGUUUAUAUUUUUUUAUGCCAUGCUGAAUGUGUCUUGACAUUUAUGUGCAGGAAAAUGGUUAAUCUUGGAAUGUUCUUGGUGGGCUUUGUUGCAUUAAUGGCCUCCUCUGUUCAAGGAUAUGGAGGUUGGUCUGGUGCUCAUGCCACCUUCUAUGGUGGGGGUGAUGCCUCAGGCACAAUGGGUAUGUCAAAAAUUAGAUAAAAACUAAAAAUAAUUUUUAACUUUUUUUUUUUGGCCUUUCUCUAAUGAUUUGGUGUUGGGGACUAUUAUAGGUGGGGCUUGUGGAUAUGGGAAUCUGUACAGCCAAGGUUAUGGAACAAACACUGCAGCUUUGAGUACUGCUCUGUUCAACAAUGGGUUAAGCUGUGGGUCUUGCUAUGAGAUUAAGUGUGUUAAUGACAAUCAAUGGUGUCUGCCUGGCUCCAUCAUGGUCACUGCAACUAACUUCUGUCCACCCAACAGUGAUGGAGGCUGGUGUAAUCCUCCCAACCAGCACUUUGACCUCUCCCAGCCUAUUUUCCAACACAUUGCUCAAUACAAAGCUGGCAUAGUCCCUGUUUCCUACAGGAGGUGAACCCUCUAAUCCUUGCUACAGGCUCGGUCGAAAUAAGUCACUUAUUUCCAGAAAAAAAUAUAUGAAUAUUUAUUUUUUAUGGAAAUAAGUGACUUAUUUAUGCAAAUAAGACAUAUAAAAUAUUUAUUAAAAAAUUUGACACUAACAAAUAUUUUGUAAAUGCGAAACCCAAAAUAAGUAUCUUUUUUAUAAAAUAAGGUCAGUCAAACAAGCUGAUACUAAUGAAAUCUUGGUUUUGGUUUGAACAGGGU
rnacentral:lncRNA from 1 species